ACCAUGCAUCAGAAGCAGGAUCAUCUGCCCUGGACUGUGGUUGACCAUGAGUAAAUGAAGCAGUGGAAAGUGAAAGGCAGAUGAUGGGGAACUACAGUGUCCUCAAGUGGAUUCUGAGCCCAAUUCUGGUGUAUGACUGUAUAUCUGGAUCUGUACAGACACUCAUACACACAUAUUCCUGAAAGUUUUUGGUGGGAUUGAAUCUCCUGAGAACCAGCCUCCUUACAGUUCAACACUUCCAUCACCCCAAGGGUCCACGUGGAGACAACUGAGCAGGGAAUCUGACAGUCAUCUUGCCCAGGACUCCUGUUUUCUCCAACAGCCAUUCAUCCGCAGCCUCGACCAAUUUCUAGGGGCUAUACUGAUCCCAGUGAAAGUAACUUCCAGUCUUUAGAAGAAGUAUUGUGAAGUGAUUACCUGAGAGUGAAGGGGAACCAAGGGAAACCAUGCAUACACCCAGCUGCCCGGGGAUUCAGAUACUCUGCAGCUCAGCAGGCACUGACCGUCAUGCUGCUCUGGCCCCAGCCAGGGGGUCACGACUCUACUGAAUGAGGAAUCCCAGGCAAGAAUUAUCAGAAGCACUUGGAGAGCUUGGUAAAACGCUGACUUCAGAGCUCUGUCCUGGACCCAGUAAGUCAUGGCAGACUGCAUCUUUCAAUAGCUUCAAAGGCUAAUUAUGCACUAUUCCAGUAAAAGAUCCAGGACUUCUCCAGGCUCUGCCUCCACGCCAUAAAUAAGAGCAUCAAUAGGUAUAAGGAGAAGUCAGCAAUCUGCAACCCAGAAGAGGACCUUCAACAGAACCUGACAAAACUGGCCCCCUGAUCUUGGACUUUCAGCCUCCAGAACGGUGAAAUGUCACAUUGAGUUGGAUGAUCACCUGAUCACUGUCUUUCUUCCUCACCGAGUCACAAGGCCUGUGAGGGCAGCCUCAGAGCUGGGUUUGAUCACCCUUGUAUCCUCCAGCACAUAGUAGUAAAAGCGACCACAGUAUCGACUUUCAACUCAAAAUGAUAUUAUUAACUGCAUAGCCAUGGUGGCAUGGUUGACCGUGAUGCCUCUUUCAUCUCUAUGGGAUGUUUUCUGUUCAGGAGUUCAGCAAAGCUAUGAAUAAUACAGAUGGCAUGUGCUCUUUCUACAGUUGCUUGCAAUUGUUUAUCUGUUCCCACCACAACCUUGCAAUUCCUUUCUCAAAGAUCACAAAUGACCCUUUGCUCACCAGAAUUAAUGGCCUCUUCUCAGCUGUCAUGUUCCUGGAACUUGUGAACCAUUUGAUAUCCCUCAUCACUCUCUCUGUGAAGUUCUUUACUGCCUGGGCUUCUUUGUCUUUGGAUA